rnacentral:piRNA from 1 species
UGUGAUGACUGGUGUGGAAUCCGCUGA